rnacentral:lncRNA from 1 species
GAUCCAAACCCAAAGUUAAGCAUUCGAAUUUUAUCCAAAUACGGCCCAACUCUAGUCAACAUGUUGACUACCCAACCCAAUCGGAUUGGGUCAGGUCGGGUACCCAUAGAUUUAGAUUUUGUUGCCAUCCCUAAUCCUAGUUUAGCAAUUCUGGUCAAUCCUCUCUAUUGGGAUAAUUCAGCCGACUCUCUGAUUCCAACUCUUAAUCGACCUUAUAAGCAUAAAUUGUCGACUA